UUCAGGCUUGGGGUGGCACAGUAGUAGGAUAGCAGGAUGAGUUGGAUGUGUUCUUCAGAGACCAGGUGAUGUCGUUGCCGAAAGUCUGCCAUCAUGGGAAAAUUCGGGAUCCCAACAAAAGUGCUUCUGGAUGCUAUGAAGCAACAGCUUAGCCUUCCAAGCGAAAGUAAGACAUUGUAAGCAAGACAUUUCCCAUGACGGCAGACUGAUGACGGCAGACAUAAACUCCUAUGACGACAAACUGAUGACGGCAGACUUAAAAAUGCUUCUGGAUGGUGUGCAGAGGUUUCUUAGUUCUUGUACUGCACCCCAUUCUUUUAGAAAUUGAAACUACUCCAGCGUCCAGUGUUAGCUAAGAGCUAAGAUGAGUACACGAAUUUUCUGUAGAGAUUGUUGCAAGGAGACAUCUUUGUCCAGUGUUAGCUAAAUUUUAUUGGUCUCGGCAUUGGACUAUCUAUGCAUUGGUCUCACAUCUUAUUUUCGGAACAUUUGAGUACUCUUCAAAUAUGCAUACACUGCAUAUUUUCAGUGAUAGUCUGAAAAUAUGCAUAUACACUGUACAGCAGCAUAUUGAAAACAUUCAGGUUUUAGUAUAACUGAAUUUUUUGUUACAUACACUCUGCGCUUCUUCUAUAGCUGAAUUUUCUGUUACAUACACUCUGCACUUCUGCUUUAACUGAAUUUAUUUUUCAGGUUUUGUACAUCAGCCUACUGAAAACAUUCAGUCAUUGACAAAUCAUGACAUUACAAUCUGACAAAUCAUGCAUGCAAAAUCUGACCAACUGUAAAAGCUUGUCAAAGCUCUCAUUCCUUGUUAUGUUAUAAACUGAAUGCCAAGAUAGAUUUCUCAAUGUACAAAUUGUUUGCACUUUCUGAGCACUGAAAUCUGUAUAUUUUAGAUAAAGUAGCACUUGCCAGUAGAAGUCAUGGUUGGAUCAACAUAUUUUUCCACUGGAAUCCUUUUUUAAUGCAAGUUUACAGCUA